rnacentral:rRNA from 1 species
AGAGUUUGAUCCUGGCUCAGGACGAACGCUGGCGGCGUGCUUAACACAUGCAAGUCGAGUGCGCGGUUGUAGCAAUACAACUGGCGCACGGCGCACGGGUGCGUAACACGUGGGUAACCUGCCCUUUGGUGGGGAAUAACUCCGCGAAAGCGGAGCUAUUUCCGCAUAAGAUCCGCAAGGAUGAAAGCCGCAAGGCGCCGAAGGAGGGGCCCGCGCCCGAUUAGCUAGUUGGUGAGGUAAUGGCUCACCAAGGCUUUGAUCGGUAGCUGGUCUGAGAGGAUGAUCAGCCACACUGGAACUGAGACACGGUCCAGACUCCUACGGGAGGCAGCAGUGGGGAAUCUUGCACAAUGGGCGAAAGCCUGAUGCAGCGACGCCGCGUGGGGGAUGAAGCAUUUCGGUGUGUAAACCCCUUUCGAUCCGGACGAAACCCCGCAAGGGAUGACGGUACGAUUUAGAGCCCCGUG